UGCUAUCAAUGUCAGGAAGUCUUUCAUCACUUGAAGUGUUCUGGAAUUCUACCUGUUGUGUUUUGGGAUCCAUAAACUAGUAGCAAGCCUCAUAUCCAUGAAUAGUUUCAUUUAUUUUCUGACAUUGGAUUAAGAUACCCAGAUAUAAUAGCAAGUGUAACUGAAUUAGCGGGGAGUUAUAUAGAGGGCUUACAUAGAAAUGUUGUUUUUGUCAAUGUGAUAUUAUUAUUCUGAUCAAACUGUUGAAUUGUAUCAUGAAUAGACGUGAAAUAUAAAUAUAUACCUAACAUAAUGUUCAUAAAUUUGUUACUUAUAGUAAAUAUUUCAAUAUUUACUGUGUUAACCGGGCACUGAAUUCACAUACUGAGUUCCAAGCUCCAGUUGCUUAACAUGGAAAGACUCUAUACAACGUUCCACUGAGAGUGUUAUCGACUCUAAAGUUAAUUUUUAAAUGUUAUUAAAAUGUUUAAUUCAUAAAGACAACCACAAUGGAUAUAUUGGUAUUCCCGGUAUCACGUGUGUCCAUUUUAGGAAUAAUAUGUUUAUUAACACAAGUUAUAACAGAAAGUGUUGAAAAGUUUACAAAUAAAUCGUUUAUCAACCCAGUCUUCCUACCAUCAGUAACUAAUAUCACUGUUAAAAGAGGGUCGUUGGCUGUUUUACCCUGUUCUAUACAAUACCUACAAGAUAAACAAGUGGUGUGGAGGUUUGUAGAUGAAGAUAAGUUUUUAACGAUUGGUAAAAAGACUUGGUUUAAAAGUGAUAAAAUUAUAUUAGAACAUUUAUCCCAAGAUGAUAAUAUUACUAAUUGGGAUUUAUUAAUUAAAAAUACUGAAUUUAUAAAUGGUGGCAUGUACGAGUGUCAGAUAACAUCAACUGUUGAUUUAACUAAAAGAGUUCAACUUAAUGUGUUAGAAACUACUAUAAAAGGUGAUAGAUCUAUAGAUCGCGGUGAAAGAAUUUAUUUUGUUUGUAACGUGACGGGGGGCCCCCAUAUACCUACAGAUAUCACGUGGUAUAAAGAUGGACAUCCAAUAACAAGUAGGGAAUUCCCCCAUGCUGUAAUAACUAAGUAUAGAUCUAACGUUAAUAAUUCUAGUAUAACAGAAUUUAUAGUAGACAGAAGUGUUUUCUCUGAUACUGGUGUUUAUACAUGUAAAAGUAAAACAGUGGAAGCAGUUGAAACUCAAAUAUUACUUCAAAUAGGUGAUACAGUCCACGUUAAAAGAAUUCCAGUGUUUGAAGAUUUAAAGGAAGAAAAAAGAGAAGAGCUUUCUCCGGUUUAUAGUUCUGGUUCACUACAGACGACCAGUUCCAGCAAUAACACUUCAAUGUCAGUUGUCAUCAAGUUCGUGUUUAUAAUGCUAACCUUAAUAAACCGAUGAACUGCCCGCAAGAUGCAGUUCUAUCUAUGUUAACCCCAAGAUGUGCCCGUCAAAAUACUCUAUUAGGAAAAAUUAUUAAACAAAUGGACAUGCUCAAGAUGCAAUUCUAAUGAUGCAAACUAGGACGUUAGGACGUGCCCAUGGAUAUACUUUAUUAGGGACAAUUAAUAAUAUGCGCGGGUGUGUUAUUAAGAUAACUUGGUAGUGAGAAUACUGGGUUAUUCUGUAUUUCAAAAUGUGGAAUGUGUUUCUAAGGACGGUGGUUCACCGCGAGCGUGUUAACUGUUUAUCCAAGUGUGUAGCUCUACAAAUUUCGGAAUUGAAUUAUAAAUUAUUGUGUUUCAAGUUAACUUAUUUCGUGGUAUGCCUAAAAAGAGAUUACAAACUCUUGUGACUCAAUAUGAACGUCGAUCACCAACUUAACCACCUGUGCUCAAUUUGCUUUGGCGAGACAUUAACUUAAAUGUGAAUGGAUGAUGUAUUUAUUUACAAUGUUGCUUUUUCAAACUAUUAUUAAAUUAUAUUCGGCGAAAUCUGUGAUAUCUACUUAUAUGUUAAAGUAAUAAUACAACACUUUACGGUUGCAUAAUUGGAUUUUAAUUUGGUUUAAAAAUAAAUAUUCUGUAUUUAUGUUUAAUCUGCAGUAAGACAGAAAACUGAAUUACUCAUUGUUUUAUCACUUUGAACAUUACUCAUUGUUUUAUCACUUUGUACAUUUCUCAUUGUUUUAUCACUCUGUACAUUUCUCAUUGUGUGAUCAUUUUGUACAUAUUUCAUUGUUUUAUCACUCUGUACAUAAGUCAUUGUUUUAUCACUUUGUACAUUACUCAUUGAAAUUUCGUUUCAAAUUUCUCCGAGGUUUAACGAUUUUAUCAUCGUUUCUUUUUUUAUCGACUUCCGUGAUUGGAAAUUGAAUAUCAGAAUGCAGGCAUUGAUAUAAACGAAUGUCGUUCGCGAGGCAGGGCGUGCUUACUAUUUUUGGAACCACUACUAAAUUGUCAGUGUACUUUGGUGUACUUUGACAUGCAUUGAUUGGUAAUACCGUAUUUUUCUCUUGGAAAUAAUUCAAGACAUGCAGAAUUAACUAAAUCAGUGUUGACUUUCUUAUUCUCGAGAUUAAAGUAUUCAACAAC